rnacentral:rRNA from 1 species
UACGUAGGGUGCGAGCGUUAAUCGGAAUUACUGGGCGUAAAGCGUGCGCAGGCGGUUUUGUAAGCCAGAUGUGAAAUCCCCGGGCUUAACCUAGGAAUGGCAUUUGGGACUGCAAGGCUUGAGUGCGGCAGAGGAGACUGGAAUUCCUGGUGUAGCAGUGAAAUGCGUAGAUAUCAGGAGGAAUACCGAUGGCGAAGGCAGGUCUCUGGGCUGACA